rnacentral:lncRNA from 1 species
GUUUAUUCUUUCAAUGGGCAAGAUUAUGAAAGAUGAUUUUCUUUUUUUUGUUAUUGUUUGAAGGCAGGUAGAAUUGAUUCUACCAAACUACCGACAGAUGCUAAACAAGCGUAUUGUCUAAGGUGCUAUCUCAGAGGAAAACAUUGCCUCUUAUUGUGGAGUGCGGUCAUUACUUCUCAUGCAGCUGUUUGUCAAGUUGUUUGGCAGCCUUUUGAUGCUGCUGUGGCCUCAAAAGGGUUAACAGCAAGUCAGCGGUGCUGCUGUAAUCCUCCAGGACUACCAGCAUGCUGCACUGUUGUUGUGUCAGACCGGGGGGGUUCUGGAGGAAGCUGCGCUAGCUGUGGCAGCUGCCUCAGUCACGUCUGUCAUUUUGGGUUUCUGUUUUCAACAACAUGGCUGACGUAGCAGGUAAAGCAAAAGACCACCGUAGCCUGUACAGAACCAUGUUCUUCCACUCCCUCUCACAUCCAGAAAACGCCCUACCUCCUCAGAAAACGAACGCCGUGCGUCAGGAACACGUCCUCGUUGGGGGGAAAGCAAAAACGUGUGUUUGACAAACAACCCUUGUCCUGUCUGCAGUGGUGGAAACAAUGCAGGUAUUGGGGAACCUUCUACUAGAGCAAGGAAGGCAGUGAAGCUUGAACUAAAGAUCUGAAGCACUUUGCUGUGUCAUCUAUCUUCAUUGUCCCUUCUGGGAGCCACAGAAAUGGUACACACCCCAUCUGGGAACCAAAAACACCUAGCAAGUGCAGCCUGAAUGAGGGCUUGAAAUGCUCUGCCAUUUCAUUUAUCUUCUCCGUCCCUCCUGGCAACCAGAGAAACAGUGGCUGAAGGCACACCCCACCCAGAAACCAGAGACAGCAAGUGCUGUACCCUGAGCAGAAGCCUGAAAGCAAGCCAUUCCAUUCAUCCCCUGCUUCCUGUCUGCAGCACUGUACCUGGCACAGGAGUCACUUAGAAUAUGCAAACUAGGAGGAUGGAACUUCCAGAAAUUCUCACAGAGAAAAUAUAAGGUGACAGAAGCAUACAUCCGAACACCCAAACUGACCUUCUGUGGAUGAGAUAUUCCCCUAACUUUCAUUGAUAUCCCCACUGGUUUUUAAACUCACCCAUGUAAGUUGGAUUAUUUGACCCGAGAUACUCUUUCAGAGUUGAUUGUGUCAGUUAUUAGAGGUUGCCAGUCCUUGGGUCUGGAGUGGUGGGGAGUUGUGAGAAGCCAUUUGGUGACUGUCAACAUCACUAUGUUAUUCCUGUCUAUCCCUAUGUAUUGGAUUGGUUCCAAUUGGACCUUAACCAAAAUUAAACGAAAUAUGUGCUUAGGCUCUUUGGUGUUUCUAAAAUCCACUUUUUUUU